GGACGUGUGCCUGAAAUUUAAGGGUUACUUUGAUAGAGUAAACCAUAGGGAGUAGUAGCCCCUCACCUCCU
rnacentral:tRNA from 1 species